UUUCUUCGGAACUGAAGAUUUGGUGAUUGAGUGGCGGACGGGUGAGUAACGCGUGGGUAACCUGCCCUGUACAGGGGGAUAACAGUCAGAAAUGACUGCUAAUACCGCAUAAGACCACAGCACCGCAUGGUGCAGGGGUAAAAACUCCGGUGGUACAGGAUGGACCCGCGUCUGAUUAGCUGGUUGGUGAGGUAACGGCUCACCAAGGCGACGAUCAGUAGCCGGCUUGAGAGAGUGAACGGCCACAUUGGGACUGAGACACGGCCCAAACUCCUACGGGAGGCAGCAGUGGGGAAUAUUGCACAAUGGGGGAAACCCUGAUGCAGCGACGCCGCGUGAGUGAAGAAGUAUCUCGGUAUGUAAAGCUCUAUCAGCAGGGAAGAAAAUGACGGUACCUGACUAAGAAGCCCCGGCUAACUACGUGCCAGCAGCCGCGGUAAUACGUAGGGGGCAAGCGUUAUCCGGAAUUACUGGGUGUAAAGGGUGCGUAGGUGGUAUGGCAAGUCAGAAGUGAAAACCCAGGGCUUAACUCUGGGACUGCUUUUGAAACUGUCAGACUGGAGUGCAGGAGAGGUAAGCGGAAUUCCUAGUGUAGCGG
rnacentral:rRNA from 1 species